rnacentral:ncRNA from 1 species
GAUAACCGAUAGACAUGAGUUUGAAACGAAAUAAAAUUAAAAUAGAUUAAUUUGUUAAUUAAUUUAUUUUUUUAUUUAAAUUUGGUUUGGUUUGUGAGAAAAAUUUUCUAGUUUUUUUAUAAAAUAAUUUAAAAAAAAAACUAGAAAAUUUAAUUUAAUUAAUAAUAAUAAAUUAUUGAGAACUAGUAUUAAUUUCUAGCUAAAUUUGUGCCAGCAGCAGCGGUUAAACAAAUAGAAUCAUUCUCUUUUUAAUUAAAUUUAAAUAAAUAUUAUUAAAAUAAUUAAAAUUAAAGGUGAAAUUUUUUUUUAAGUUUUAAAAAAUUAAAAUUUUAAUUCCUUUCAUAAACUAGGAUUAGAUACCCUAUUAUUUGGGAGCUUAACAUUGUAAGUAUAUAAAUAUUAUGAAAGCAAAAAAUUAUGGCGGUAUCUUAAGCUUUUCAGAGGAAUUUGCUCUAUAAUGGAUAAAACACCUUAAUCUUACUUUAAUUGGUGUAAAAACAGUUUGUAUACCACUAUUAAAAUAAUAAUAUACAAUUAUUAUUAAAGUAUAUUAUUUAUGUAUUUAAAUAAAGUUAAGUCAAGGUGCAGCAAAAAUUAAAGUAUGAAGUGAAUUACACUGCUUUUUAGAUAAGAAAAUGAAAAUAAAUUUAGGAUUUGAAAGUAAAAUUAAAAUAGGAAGUUAAUUUGAAUUAAGCUCUAGGAUAUGUACAUAUCGCCCGUCACUCUUUUUUAAGAUAAGUCGUAACAAAGUUAAAAUACUGGAAAGUGUUUUA